rnacentral:rRNA from 1 species
UGGGGAAUUUUGCGCAAUGGGCUAACGCCUGACGCAGCAACGCCGCGUGGAGGAUGAAGGUCUUUGGAUUGUAAACUCCUGUCGGCCGGGAAAAAGCAACUCGACCUAACACGUCGAGAAGUUGAUUGUACCGGCGGAGGAAGCCCGGGCUAACUCUGUGCCAGCAGCCGCGGUAAUACAGAGGGGGCAAGCGUUAUUCGGAAUUAUUGGGCGUAAAGGGCGCGUAGGCGGCUUGGCAAGUGGAAGGUGAAAUCCCUCGGCUUAACCGAGGAACUGCCCUCCAAACUGCCUGGCUUGAGACCGGGAGAGGUGAGUGGAAUUCCCAGUGUAGCGGUGAAAUGCGUAGAUAUUGGGAGGAACACCAGUGGCGAAGGCGGCUCACUGGACCGGUACUGACGCUGAUGCGCGAAAGCGUGGGGAGCAAACGG